GAGAGCCGUAUACGCGGAGACGUGUACGUACGGUUCGGGGGCGAGCACCCGAAAACCCACCGUAGUAAUACGGCAGGGCGUUGGAUGCUUAGCCUAC
rfam:Mariniphaga anaerophila strain DSM 26910 genome assembly, contig: Ga0131162_101